UCGCCACGGUAAUACCAGCCCCGCGAGUGGUCGGGACGAUUAUUGGGCCUAAAGCGCCCGUAGCCGGCCUGGCAAGCCCCCUGCUGAAAUCCCCAGGCUCAACCUGGGGGACAGGCGGGGGUACUGCCAGGCUAGGGGGCGGGAGAGGCCGAGGGUACUCCUGGGGUAGGGGCGAAAUCCGAUAAUCCCGGGAGGACCACCAGUGGCGAAGGC
rnacentral:rRNA from 1 species